UAGCGGAGGGUGCGAGCGUUGUCCGGAAUCAUUGGGCGUAAAGGGCGCGUAGGUGGCCCGGUGAGUCUUUGGUGAAAGCGCGGGGCUCAACCCUGCGUCGGCCAGGGAUACUGCCGCGGCUCGAGCACUGUGAGAGGCAGGCGGAAUUCCGGGGUGUAGCGGUGGAAUGCGUAGAUAUCUGGAGGAACACCGGUGGCGAAGGCGGCAUCCUGGACCGGUAUUGACGCUGAGGCGCGGAAA
rnacentral:rRNA from 1 species